rnacentral:rRNA from 1 species
CCUACGGGUGGCAGCAGUGGGGAAUAUUGCGCAAUGGACGAAAGUCUGACGCAGCGACGCCGCGUGUGGGAGGAAGCUCUUCGGGGUGUAAACCACUGUCAGGAGGGAAGAAAGGCGCCGGCCCGAACAGGCUCGGCGAUUGACGGUACCUCCAAAGGAAGCGCCGGCUAACUCCGUGCCAGCAGCCGCGGUAAGACGGAGGGCGCAAGCGUUGUUCGGAAUUACUGGGCGUAAAGCGCGGGCAGGCGGUCUGUUAAGUCGUUUGUGAAAACCCGGGGCUCAACCCCGUGAAUGCAUACGAUACUGGCAGGCUGGAGACUGGUAGAGGCUAGCGGAAUUCCUGGUGUAGCGGUGGAAUGCGUAGAUAUCAGGAAGAACACCUGUGGCGAAGGCGGCUAGCUGGGCCAGUUCUGACGCUCAUCCGCGAAAGCGUGGGGAGC